UACAGAGGUCUCGAGCGUUGUUCGGAUUCAUUGGGCGUAAAGGGCGCGUAGGCGGCGGGGUAAGUCUGGUGUGAAAUCUCGGAGCUCAACUCCGAAAUUGCACUGGAUACUGCUCUGCUAGAGGGCUGGAGAGGAGAUCGGAAUUCACGGUGUAGCAGUGAAAUGCGUAGAUAUCGUGAGGAAGACCAGUGGCGAAGGCGGAUCUCUGGACAGCUCCUGGACGCUGAGGCGCGAAGGCUAGGGAGCAAACGGG
rnacentral:rRNA from 1 species